CCCUGCGUGGUGCGUGAUACCCCAAAGCCCCCCGCCUUGAAGUGGGGAAGAAAUAGCCACCAAGUCCCCCCGAUCCUCCUCCGUGUGUCCCCUUCGGCAACCCCGAGCUGCGGCAGGAGUGGGGGGGAGGCUGCCUGCCCCCUGACUGCGCGGGGCUGCCAGCCACGGAGCAGCUUAAAGCAAAUCUGCCUGCAGACCCGGCGGUCUGCUGCCGCUGAAAUCCCUAAUUAUGCAAAGAGAGUUGGUGAAUUUGCAACAGCAAGAGUGGUAAACUUGAGCAACACUUGGAGCCCAGAGGGCCCAGCUCUGAGCCCAGUGCCCAGACCUGCCAUCUCUUUGGCUCUCAGGGUGGUGGCAACAGCAGCAAACUCUGCAAAACGCCUUUUUCCUGAAUAA
rnacentral:lncRNA from 1 species